rnacentral:rRNA from 1 species
GACGAACGCUGGCGGCGUGCUUAACACAUGCAAGUCGAACGGAAAGGCCCUGCUUUUGUGGGGUGCUCGAGUGGCGAACGGGUGAGUAACACGUGAGUAACCUGCCCUUGACUUUGGGAUAACUUCAGGAAACUGGGGCUAAUACCGGAUAGGAGCUCCUGCUGCAUGGUGGGGGUUGGAAAGUUUCGGCGGUUGGGGAUGGACUCGCGGCUUAUCAGCUUGUUGGUGGGGUAGUGGCUUACCAAGGCGUUGACGAGUAGCCGGCCUGAGAGGGUGACCAGCCACACUGGGACGGAGACACGGCCCAGAGUCCUACGGGAGGGAGCGGUGGGGAAUGGUGGACAAGGGGCGAAAGCCUGAUCCAGCAAUGCCGCGUGUGUGAAGAAGGCCUUCGGGUUGUAAAGCACGUUUGUCCGGAAAGAAAUCCUUGGCCCUAAUACGGUCGGGGGAUGACGGUACCGGAAGAAUAAGCACCGGCUAACUACGUG